GCAGGGCAUGGCGGCAUGCGCCUGUAGUCCCAGCUACCAGGAGGCUCAGGAGGGCGGCUCGCUUGAAUCCAGGAGUUCUGGGUUGCAGUGCACUAGAACGGUCAGGUGUCUGCACUAAGCUCAGCAUCGAUACAGUGACCUCCCAGGAGCAGGGAACCAUCAGACUGCCCAAGGAGGGGUGAAUCAGCCCAGGUCAGAAACAGAGCAGGUCAACAUUCCUGCGCUGAUCAGUAGUGGGAUCGUGCCUGUGGAGAGCCAUACAAUGGGAGCCCCAAAACAAUCAGGAUUAGCUGUGCUAU
rnacentral:SRP_RNA from 1 species